UUUCCCCCAAUUACAUCAAAGAAUGUCGACAAAUUAGAUUGAAUAAAGUCUCCUAACCAACAAAUAUGGUGCUUUCUAUACUACCCUUCUACCUUUAUGAUUAGCAACAUUGGAUUAUGAAACAUCUUCCUCCACACUAGGGAUUGUUGGUAGACCCGCAGUAAACAUACUCGACAUGAACAACUACUAUCGAACUGAGCCAAAUAAUCAGCUCAAGAAACGGAGCAAUAACAACAAU
rnacentral:lncRNA from 1 species